GACGAACGCUGGCGGCGUGCUUAACACAUGCAAGUCGAACGGUAAGGCCCCUUCGGGGGUACACGAGUGGCGAACGGGUGAGUAACACGUGAGCAACCUGCCCUUGACACUGGAAUAACAGUUGGAAACAGCUGCUAAUGCCGGAUAUGACCUUCGGUGACAUCACCUGGAGGUGGAAAGUGCUUAGCGGUCAAGGAUGGGCUCGCGGCCUAUCAGCUAGUUGGUGAGGUAACGGCUCACCAAGGCUUCGACGGGUAGCCGGCCUGAGAGGGGGACCGGCCACACUGGGACUGAGAUACGGCCCAGACUCCUACGGGAGGCAGCAGUGGGGAAUAUUGCACAAUGGGCGCAAGCCUGAUGCAGCAACGCCGCGUGCGGGAUGACGGCCUUCGGGUUGUAAACCUCUUUUAGCAGGGAAGAAGCGUGAGUGACGGUACCUGCAGAAAAAGCGCCGGCUAACUACGUGCCAGCAGCCGCAGUAAGAC
rnacentral:rRNA from 1 species